GUAACAAGGUAGCCGUACUGGAAAGUGUGGCUGGAUCACCUCC
rnacentral:rRNA from 1 species